UUCCUGGUGGCGAUAGUAACAGGGAAACACCCGUUCCCAUUCCGAAUACGGCAGUUAAGUCUGUUACGCCGAAGGUACUUGUCGGGAGACUGACCGGUAAAAUAGGUACUGCCAGGAUU
rnacentral:rRNA from 1 species